CGACGUCGGUUCCUCCUCCUGACUCAAGUGGAUCAGGAGGAUUUUACGACGUCGCAGAGAAACGAGUCUGUUUCACCCGGAGAGCUGCAGGCUGAGGCCCAACUCACGGCUCCUCGGUUUUGCGAGACUCGACAAAC